GACGGGGCCCGCACAAGCGGAGGAACAUGUGGUUAAUUCGAUGAUACGCGAGGAACCUUACCUGGGCUUAAAUGUAGAUUGCAUGAUGUAGAAAUACACUUCCCUUCGGGGCUAUUUACAAGGUGCUGCAUGGUUGUCGUCAGCUCGUGCCGUGAGGUGUCGGGUUAAGUCCCAUAACGAGCGCAACCCUUAUCGUUAGUUGCCAGCGGGUCAAGCCGGGGACUCUAGCGAGACUGCCACCGUAAGGUGAGAGGAAGGUGGGGAUGACGUCAAAUCAGCACGGCCCUUAUGUCCAGGGCUACACACGUGUUACAAUGGCCAGUACAAAGGGCAGCUACCGGGUGACCGGAUGCUAAUCUCGAAAGCUGGUCUCAGUUCGGAUCGAAGUCUGCAACCCGACUUCGUGAAGCUGGAUUCGCUAGUAAUCGCGCAUCAGCCAUGGCGCGGUGAAUACGUUCCCGGGCCUU
rnacentral:rRNA from 1 species